rnacentral:rRNA from 1 species
GGGGAAUAUUGCACAAUGGGCGAAAGCCUGAUGCAGCGACGCCGCGUGAGGGAUGGAGGCCUUCGGGUUGUAAACCUCUUUCGCUCAUGGUCAAGCCGCAACUGUGGGUUGUGGUGAGGGUAGUGGGUAAAGAAGCGCCGGCUAACUACGUGCCAGCAGCCGCGGUAAUACGUAGGGCGCGAGCGUUGUCCGGAAUUAUUGGGCGUAAAGGGCUUGUAGGCGGUUGGUCGCGUCUGCCGUGAAAUCCUCUGGCUUAACUGGGGGCGUGCGGUGGGUACGGGCUGACUUGAGUGCGGUAGGGGAGACUGGAACUCCUGGUGUAGCGGUGGAAUGCGCAGAUAUCAGGAAGAACACCGGUGGCGAAGGCGGGUCUCUGGGCCGUUACUGACGCUGAGGAGCGAAAGCGUGGGGAGCGAACAGGAUUAGAUACCCCGGUAGUCCUGGCCGUAAACGAUGGGUACUAGGUGUAGGAGGUAUCGACCCCUUCUGUGCCGGAGUUAACGCAAUAAGUACCCCGCCUGGGGAGUACGACCGCAAGGUUG